UAGGGAAUCUUCGGCAAUGGACGAAAGUCUGACCGAGCAACGCCGCGUGAGUGAAGAAGGUCUUCGGAUCGUAAAACUCUGUUGUUAGAGAAGAACAAGGACGUUAGUAACUGAACGUCCCCUGACGGUAUCUAACCAGAAAGCCACGGCUAACUACGUGCCAGCAGCCGCGGUAAUACGUAGGUGGCAAGCGUUGUCCGGAUUUAUUGGGCGUAAAGCGAGCGCAGGCGGUUUCUUAAGUCUGAUGUGAAAGCCCCCGGCUCAACCGGGGAGGGUCAUUGGAGACUGAGAGACUUGAGUGCAGAAGAGGAGAGUGGAAUUCCAUGUGUAGCGGUGAAAUGCGUAGAUAUAUGGAGGAACACCAGUGGCGAAGGCGGCUCUCUGGUCUGUGACUGACGCUGAGGCUCGAAAGCGUGGGGAGCAGGCAGA
rnacentral:rRNA from 1 species